rnacentral:rRNA from 1 species
AGUGAACGCUGGCGGUAGGCCUAACGCAUGCAAGUCGAACGGCAGCACAGUAAGAGCUUGCUCUUACGGGUGGCGAGUGGCGGACGGGUGAGGAAUACAUCGGAAUCUACUUUUUCGUGGGGGAUAACGUAGGGAAACUUACGCUAAUACCGCAUACGACCUACGGGUGAAAGCAGGGGAUCUUCGGACCUUGCGCGAUUGAAUGAGCCGAUGGCGGAUUAGCUAGUUGGCGGGGUAAAGGCCCACCAAGGCGACGAUCCGUAGCUGGUCUGAGAGGAUGAUCAGCCACACUGGAACUGAGACACGGUCCAGACUCCUACGGGAGGCAGCAGUGGGGAAUAUUGGACAAUGGGCGCAAGCCUGAUCCAGCCAUACCGCGUGGGUGAAGAAGGCCUUCGGGUUGUAAAGCCCUUUUGUUGGGAAAGAAAAGCAGCAGGUUAAUACCCCGCUGUUCUGACGGUACCCAAAGAAUAAGCACCGGCUAACUUCGUG